rnacentral:rRNA from 1 species
UACGAAGGGGGCGAGCGUUUGUUCGGAAUUACUGGGCGUAAAGCGUGCGUAGACGGUUACAUAAGUCGGGUGUGAAAGCCCCGGGCUCAACCUGGGAAUGCCAUUCGAGACUGCGUAGCUAGGGUGCGGAAGAGGGAAGCGGAAUUUCCGGUGUAGCGGUGAAAUGCGUAGAUAUCGGAAGGAACACCAGUGGCGAAAGCGGCUUCCUGGUCCAGCACCGACGUUCAGGCACGAAAGCGUGGGGAGCAAACAGG